GCCACCGUAGCACAAUGGUUAGUGUGUCGCUUUCCUACUUGGGGUAAGGAUUAGCUUCUAAUUAUAGAACUAAUCCCCUGGAGUAAGGCGGAGGUUGCGGGUUCGAGUCCCGUCGGUGGUU